CUGGACUGGUUUACAUACAACAUUCUUCAUUUAGGAAUAGGUAAAGACCUCCUUUUUCAGCAGUCAGCAGAUCAAGACCUCGGCUGUUCUGGAGGACAACUGUGGCUAGGGAACUUACCUGAGCUUGAAGAAGGGAUAGCGAUUGAGUUAAUUCUGCAGUGGUAGCAGAGACAUCAUUAGAGUGGCUACAGAAGGUGAGGAUUGAAGUGGUAAGGCCUGCUAUGCCUGUGCCGAUACCGUAGAAAUUCCUAGCCCUACAAGUAAGGGGAUCAACGGAAUGACCCACUUGUAUUGUGUUGGGACCACAAGGGGAACAAGGAGGCUUUUGUCUCUGUUGGCAAACUGAAUUUUGGCAGUAAGGAAAAGUAGGGUAAAAGCGUCUGUCCAGUUGGUGGGAAGGCAGAUGUAAGAAGAAGAACCACAGAGGAAAAGAGUCUGUGGCUUAGACAGAACUGCAAAUGUAAACUGAAAAGAGUUUCACUCUUGUUACCCAGGCUGGAGUGCAAUGGUACGAUCUCGGCUCACCACAACUUCCGCCUCCUAGGUUCAAGCAAUUCUCCUGCCUCAGCCUCCUAAGUAGCUGGGAUGUCCUCCUGUAUCUCAAAAGAACAUGUGGUAUGUACCAUCAGGUACACACACCUGGAGAUUAUCAGUCUAGCAAAAGUAAUCAACAUCCACAUAGGAGGGAAAAGCAAAUCAACAAUACCAGAAAUGGAAUUUAUCCAUCAUCAGUCCCAGAUCUCUGAGAUUCUAAUUUUGCACAGGAAUUUUAUUCAUAGCAUAUCCACAUGCCUUGAUGGAAGAUGGUUCAUCUACAGUUAC
rnacentral:lncRNA from 1 species